UGUGUGUGUGUGUGUGUGUGUGUGUGAAAGUUUUGUGUGUGUCCCCUUUUUCACCGACCUCACCCAGGUACCCGUUCGACUGUCCUGCGGGUUGGGGCAAGUGGUGCCCGGAUGUGGGGCCCUGGAGUAGAGGAUCAGGGUGAAGUGCACUGUGAAGAAAUCCUGGCCAGGUAGAAGUGGAAGGAGGUGCAUCCUUGGUUCCCUCAAGAAGGCACUAUUGAUGAAGCAAGGUCGAAGAGGGGAUGACAAAAACCCUGAGAUACCUCUCUUUUCUUCCACAGACCAACAAAAUGAAGAUUCUUAAAUAUCUGAUCCUGUUUUGUCUCUUCGACGCUGUUGCUGCUGGUUUUGACCCUGGCCCAACUCAACAGACAAUUGAUUACAAUAUUCGUUGUACAUGUCCCGGUGGCAACCAAUCGGUGCCCACCAGCCUGUAUAUAAGCUUGCAAUUCUUCCUC